rnacentral:lncRNA from 1 species
AGUUGGCUGCUGAUACGUGAGAAAGGAAGACUCCUAUUUAGAUAGCAAUAAAAAUACAUUUUCUACUAACAUAGCUGUGCUAAACGAAGGAACUUCAUCAAAAUGCUCAACUCCGAUUGAUAUAAUAAUGGCUGAAGAGAAUAAAGAGCCGAGCAAUCCACCGCUCAACUCCCAACGACAACACGCACCACAGGCUCCAAAAAUUACAUUCAAAACUCUGAAUAACAAACCGAAUUGAAACCCUUUCAACGUAAGCUGAGUUGAACGGAGGAUUGACCAUUCUCUUCAGCCAUUGCUAAGUCGACCGCAGUUCAUCAUUUUGAUGAAGUUAUUCCUCCGUCAGCUUGCCAACUGUUAUUCCACUCUUAAGUCAUUGUUAUAUUAAUUAAACAUAUCGCUUCUGCCAUCGCCAAAAUCAUCUCUAAAGCUAAAUAAUUGCUACAAGGAAGACAUGCCACUAAUGGAACAAUAAAAAUAUUGUAAACAACCAAGCUCUUCAAAGGCGCUUUCAGGAAAAAAGUUGCGAAAAUGUUCAUUAACUAUUCCCAGCCAGUAGCAGAAGCAGGAGGCGGCGGCGGCAUUACAUCAACUCCAGCAACAUCAACUCCAGCAUCAACUCCAGGUGCU